rnacentral:rRNA from 1 species
UCAUUCACAAUGGGGGAAACCCUGAUGGUGCGACGCCGCGUGGGGGAAUGAAGGUCUUCGGAUUGUAAACCCCUGUCAUGUGGGAGCAAAUUAAAAAGAUAGUACCACAAGAGGAAGAGACGGCUAACUCUGUGCCAGCAGCCGCGGUAAUACAGAGGUCUCAAGCGUUGUUCGGAAUCACUGGGCGUAAAGCGUGCGUAGGCUGUUUCGUAAGUCGUGUGUGAAAGGCGCGGGCUCAACCCGCGGACGGCACAUGAUACUGCGAGACUAGAGUAAGGGAGGGGGAACCGGAAUUCUCGGUGUAGCAGUGAAAUGCGUAGAUAUCGAGAGGAACACUCGUGGCGAAGGCGGGUUCCUGGACAUUAACUGACGCUGAGGCACGAAGGCCAGGGGAGCGAAAGCGUGGGUAGCAAACA